UAUAGCUGUUACGACGCCAACUCCUAUAAAAUGUAACACGUGUGGAGAUAUAAGUAACGGCAUUCCCUGUUAUAGUAAAGAUGUGUAUGGAAAUAGUUCUACGACUAUCUGCCCUACUGGUUACAAUUACUGCAUGACAGAUGUGCUAAAUGAUGGCAAUGGUAAUUCCGAUAUCUUUAAACGAUGUGUGACGCAACCGACAUGUGACACAAAAUGGUUAAAGGAAUCAGCUGAUCAAGAUUAUUGUAUGAGAUAUGGAGUAGUUACCAAUGCUAAUGCAUUUGAGUGUCAUUUCUGUUGUUCAGGGGAUCAAUGCAAUACUGGUAUUAAACCUGCAACUUCAACACUUUUAUCAAAAACUUCUGGUUAAGAAUAAAGCCUGUAAUUCAGUG